UACGUAGGGUCCGAGCGUUGUCCGGAGUUACUGGGCGUAAAGCGCGCGCAGGCGGCGGUGCUGGCCCGGCGUGAAAGCCCCCGGCUCAACCGGGGAGAGUCGUCGGGGACCGCACCGCUUGAGGGCGGUAGGGGCUGGUGGAAUGCCUGGUGUAGUGGUGAAAUGCGUAGAGAUCAGGCAGAACACCUGGGGCGAAGGCGGCCAGCUGGGCCGUCCCUGACGCUGAGGCGCGAAAGCUAGGGGAGCAAACGGG
rnacentral:rRNA from 1 species